UUCAUGAUCCUUCUUUUAAGAGCUGCAUGGAUUUGGAGUCUUAUCCUCACUAGAAGAGAGGAAUGCACCCAAUGGAAAAGAGGAGAGCAACCAAAGUCUAAGCUAAGAGCAUAGUUUCAUAUAUCCAAAACAUCAUUCACUGUUAAAUCCAGGAAACAUCCUUGGAUUUGGAAAUUAUGGAAGGAGAAAUUAUUAUUGGAACUGUACUGAACCUUUAGCUCAAUUAAGUUCAAAACAGAUACAAAGCUAUGAGCAUGUAUAUGCAGAGGUAGAUCAACCUGGAAGCUACUACAAUAGUCCAGGUGAGACAUCAAGAGGACAACUGAGGAAAUAAAGUGGACAUGGAGAAGAGGGAGAAGAUUCAACUAUUUAUACAGUUUGAUGAGGCAGGAUACCAUGCUGUGGAGACCCAUUUGGCAAGAAACUAAAGGCAGCCACCAUCCAAAUGCUAGGAAAAAGCUACAGCUUUCUGUCUGAUGGCAAAGGAGACACUGAAUCCAGUCAACAAUAACAGGAGUUUGAUGGAAGAUCCAUUCCCCAGUGGAGCCUCAGAUAACACCUCAAGUCUGGCCAACAUUCUGACUGUAAACUUAUGAGAGACCCUGAAGCAGAGAAUUCAGCUAAUCCAUGCCUGGGUUUCUGACUCUCAAAAAUUCUGAGAUAAUAAAUGCAUGUUGUUUUAUGCCUUUAAGUUGUGGUAAUUUGUUAUGCAGCUGUAGAUGACAUGCAGAUUCAAGUAUCUGAAAAUGAGGGGCUGCUCUGAAAACACUACAAAUGUGGGAGUGGCUUUAU
rnacentral:lncRNA from 1 species